rnacentral:rRNA from 1 species
GACGAACGCUGGCGGCGUGCUUAACACAUGCAAGUCGAGCGGUAAGGCCCUUUCGGGGGUACACGAGCGGCGAACGGGUGAGUAACACGUGGGUGACCUGCCCUUAGCUCUGGGAUAAGCCUGGGAAACUGGGUCUAAUACCGGAUAUGACUCCAUGACGCAUGUUGUGGGGUGGAAAGCCUUGUGCGGCUAGGGAUGGGCCCGCGGCCUAUCAGCUUGUUGGUGGGGUGAUGGCCACCAAGGCGGACGACGGGUAGCCGGCCUGAGAGGGCGACCGGCCACACUGGGACGUGAGACACGGCCCACGACUCCUACGGGAGGCAGCAGUGGGGAAUCUUGCGCAAUGGGCGAAAGCCUGACGCAGCGACGCCGCGUGAGGGAUGACGGGCCU